rnacentral:rRNA from 1 species
UAGGGAAUCUUCCACAAUGGACGAAAGUCUGAUGGAGCAACGCCGCGUGAGUGAUGAAGGGUUUCGGCUCGUAAAACUCUGUUGUUGGAGAAGAACGGGUGUCAGAGUAACUGUUGACAUCGUGACGGUAUCCAACCAGAAAGCCACGGCUAACUACGUGCCAGCAGCCGCGGUAAUACGUAGGUGGCAAGCGUUGUCCGGAUUUAUUGGGCGUAAAGCGAGCGCAGGCGGUUUUUUAGGUCUGAUGUGAAAGCCUUCGGCUUAACCGGAGAAGUGCAUCGGAAACCGGGAGACUUGAGUGCAGAAGAGGACAGUGGAACUCCAUGUGUAGCGGUGAAAUGCGUAGAUAUAUGGAAGAACACCAGUGGCGAAGGCGGCUGUCUGGUCUGCAACUGACGCUGAGGCUCGAAAGCAUGGGUAGCGAACAGGAUUAGAUACCCUGGUAGUCCAUGCCGUAAACGAUGAGUGCUAAGUGUUGGAGGGUUUCCGCCCUUCAGUGCUGCAGCUAACGCAUUAAGCACUCCGCCUGGGGGAGUACGACCG